AGGUAAGCUACUAAGAGCGAAUGGUGGAUGCCUUGACUGGUAAAGGCGAUGAAGGACGUACUAGACUGCGAUAAGCUACGGGGAGCUGUCAAGAAGCUUUGAUCCGUAGAUUUCCGAAUGGGGCAACCCAAUGUAUAGAGAUAUACAUUACCUAUAUAGGAGCGAACGAGGGGAAUUGAAACAUCUUAGUACCCUCAGGAAAAGAAAUCAAUAGAGAUUGCGUCAGUAGCGGCGAGCGAAAGCGCAAGAGGGCAAACCCAGUGCUUGCACUGGGGGUUGUAGGACUGCAAUGUGCAAGAGGUAAGUUUAGCAGAACAUUCUGGAAAGUAUAACCAUAGAGGGUGAUAGUCCCGUAUGCGAAAAACAAACCUUAGCUAGCAGUAUCCUGAGUAGGGCGGGACACGAGGAAUCCUGUCUGAAUCCGGGUCGACCACGAUCCAACCCUAAAUACUAAUACCAGAUCGAUAGUGCACAAGUACCGUGAGGGAAAGGUGAAAAGAACUGAGGUGAUCAGAGUGAAAUAGAACCUGAAACCAUUUGCUUACAAUCAUUCAGAGCCCUAUGUAGCAAUACAGGGUGAUGGACUGCCUUUUGCAUAAUGAGCCUGCGAGUUGUGGUGUCUGGCAAGGUUAAGCAAACGCGAAGCCGUAGCGAAAGCGAGUCUGAAUAGGGCGCUUAGUCAGAUGCUGCAGACCCGAAACGAAGUGAUCUAUCCAUGAGCAAGUUGAAGCUAGUGUAAGAACUAGUGGAGGACUGAACCCAUAGGCGUUGAAAAGCCCCGGGAUGACUUGUGGAUAGGGGUGAAAGGCCAAUCAAACUUCGUGAUAGCUGGUUCUCUCCGAAAUAUAUUUAGGUAUAGCGUUGUGUCGUAAUAUAAGGGGGUAGAGCACUGAAUGGGCUAGGGCAUACACCAAUGUACCAAACCCUAUCAAACUCCGAAUACCUUAUAUGUAAUCACAGCAGUCAGGCGGCGAGUGAUAAAAUCCGUCGUCAAGAGGGAAACAACCCAG
rnacentral:rRNA from 1 species